rnacentral:rRNA from 1 species
GAUGAACGCUGGCGGCGUGCCUAAUACAUGCGAGUCGAGCGAACAGACGAGGAGCUUGCUCCUCUGACGUUAGCGGCGGACGGGUGAGUAACACGUGGAUAACCUACCUAUAAGACUGGGAUAACUUUGGGAAACCGGAGCUAAUACCGGAUAAUAUAUUGAACCGCAUGGUUCAAUAGUGAAAGACGGUUUUGCUGUCACUUAUAGAUGGAUCCGCGCCGCAUUAGCUAGUUGGUAAGGUAACGGCUUACCAAGGCAACGAUGCGUAGCCGACCUGAGAGGGUGAUCGGCCACACUGGAACUGAGACACGGUCCAGACUCCUACGGGAGGCAGCAGUAGGGAAUCUUCCGCAAUGGGCGAAAGCCUGACGGAGCAACGCCGCGUGAGUGAUGAAGGUCUUCGGAUCGUAAAACUCUGUUAUUAGGGAAGAACAAAUGUGUGAGUAACUAUGCACGUCUUGACGGUACCUAAUCAGAAAGCCACGGCUAACUACGUG